GACAGAAACUCUUUUCUGUGAGAAUUUAUGCUAGCCUGUUCAGUCUGAUGCAGUUUUCGUUGCACUUGUAACGUCCAUGUGUGUCACGGAGCGUUGUAGUGUAAUAUAAAAUAGGAUAAUGUUGUAAAUACAUUGUGUGCGAUAGCCUGUUGUGCGUAUAUCUGAAACUCAUUUGCAUUCUCGUGACUGGGCAAAUACGGCACUGACCAGGCUAGGCCAUUUCUCGCGCUGCCGUCACCGUGCACAGACGUGAAAUCCUUCCUCUCCCUCUCGAUGGCGGAAUAAUUCCAGGUUAUGCACAAGCACCAAAGCUGCCCCAGCUACAGAUUCAAGGCCUUGGUCAAGGACGAGAUGACGGGAAAGGAAACAGAGGAAAUGCUCCUAGUCUUGGAUCUGUCUGUGGGAAAGUAUGCUCUUACUAAAUAUUUGCGGGGCCACGAAGAUCAUACAGCGAGGGGAAAUCCAAGGAUCUAGGACACUAUGAUAUUCCACUAUCCUUGGGACAUGGAAGCCCGACCUGACGCUGCACAACUUAAAGGCAGACAAGGAGCUGGCAGAAGGUACAAUGCUGUGUACAUCAUAUUCUUCCUGCUGGGACUGGGCAUGCUGCUGCCAUGGAACAUCUUUAUCACUGCAAAUAUGGCUGUGAUCUUCCCCACCAACCUCUGCUUGGAAAGCACAGAUCGUUCACGUCAAGCCGCCGCCGAACGCACCCUCAUCCUCCGAGGCAACCGAUGUCUACAUCCCCGGUGCUGAGACAUCCGUUCCCGGUCCCGGUAGAGCUGUGGGCAGGGGCCAGAAAGUGAGCCUGCACAGUGUGCCUGACAAAACGACCCCUGAAAAUUCCCUGACUUUUUCUCUGAAGACUACGAUGAAAGAUUGUUAGAGACAUAUGGCCAAUGUACAUGCAGCGACCCUCGGCCAAGACGGGGCACACGACGGCCAACGGGCACCGUCUCUUCCGUUCCUGAUCCGGGGAAGCCGACCACUGAUGGACCUGACACGUCAGCCACCCAUCCAUCUGGCCAGGGAUGUACUUCCCCGGUCACUUUCUCUUCUUCUCUUGCAUUAGGGAGCAGACCGUCCACGUCAAGCCACCGCCGGACACACCCUCAUCCCCCGAAACAACCAACGUCUGCAUCCCCGGCCCUGAGACAUCCAUUCCCGGUCCUGGGAGAGCUGUGGGGCCAGUCACACCGCCUGAGACCGACGUGACGGCAGUUCCUGGCACAGCCGAUACGACGAAGCCAAUGUGAACGUGCUUUUCGAUGUCCAGUCAAAGGACGCAAAAGACAAUAGAGUCUGCAUGAUCGAUACCAAAUGUCAUAAUGUAUGAAGACAUUAGCCAGAGGACCACCCCUUGACCAAAUUGUUUGAUUGUCUGGAUCCAUCAUAUGUCCUAACUACAAGGACAGUAACGACAAAACAUUUGAGCAUAAAGAACGACAGUCAUUGUAACAACAACUAUUUCAAUUGUAUUGUCACUUAUUUUAGUACACUGGGCUUCUCCAGUAGCCAGGCUUUGAGACUAGAGAAUGAUAGACAGUCUAUAUUGUAAUCGAAACUGAUUGCUGUUAUUUGGUACAUCCAGUUAUCGAACUAACGAGUACAACGGCCAUAUAAGAUUUGUUCAAUGAUUCACUGCUAUACAAUAAUCUCUUAAAUACAAGGGAGGCAUGUAUGAUAUUUAUAGCAGGACAUCUGCAUAGUUUUUGUACAAUAUCCAAUGAUCAUAUGCAACAGGAGUUCCCUGGCUGUACAGCUGUAAUAGAUGACCUAGUACAGGUGUCUCCCACUGCAAGGUCAGAGGUCAAGUCUAAAAGUCUUGACC